rnacentral:rRNA from 3 species
UGUUUCGGCUAGGGGGCCAUCCCGGCUUACCAACCCGAUGCAAACUGCGAAUACCGGAGAAUGUUAUCACGGGAGACACACGGCGGGUGCUAACGUCCGUCGUGAAGAGGGAAACAACCCAGACCGCCAGCUAAGGUCCCAAAGUCAUGGUUAAGUGGGAAACGAUGUGGGAAGGCCCAGACAGCCAGGAUGUUGGCUUAGAAGCAGCCAUCAUUUAAAGAAAGCGUAAUAGCUCACUGGUCGAGUCGGCCUGCGCGGAAGAUGUAACGGGGCUAAACCAUGCACCGAAGCUGCGGCAGCGACACUGUGUGUUGUUGGGUAGGGGAGCGUUCUGUAAGCCUGUGAAGGUGUGUCGUGAGGCAUGCUGGAGGUAUCAGAAGUGCGAAUGCUGACAUAAGUAACGAUAAAGCGGGUGAAAAGCCCGCUCGCCGGAAGACCAAGGGUUCCUGUCCAACGUUAAUCGGGGCAGGGUGAGUCGACCCCUAAGGCGAGGCCGAAAGGCGUAGUCGAUGGGAAACGGGUUAAUAUUCCCGUACUUGGUGUUACUGCGAAGGGGGGACGGAGAAGGCUAUGUUGGCCGGGCGACGGUUGUCCCGGUUUAAGCGUGUAGGUGUGUGUUCCAGGUAAAUCCGGUU